GUCCCUGUAGCGUAAUGGGUAGCGCGUUAGACAUCUAAUCAAAUUUCGUGGGCUCGAGUCCCACCUGGGAUG